rnacentral:rRNA from 1 species
GAUGAACGCUGGCGGCGUGCUUAACACAUGCAAGUCGAACGAUGAAGCCCAGCUUUCUUGGUGUGUUAGUGUCGAACACGUGAGUAACACAUGAGUAUCCUGCGCUUAACUCUUUGGUAUGCCUUGAGGACACUGGGUAAUACCGCGGAUAGGCGUCCACCGCACGGUGGGGGUUGUGGAGAUUUGUCGGUUUUGGAUGGACUCGCGGCGUAUCAGCUUGUUGGUGUGGUAAUGGCUCACCAAGGCGACGACGGGUAGCCGGCCUGAGAGGGUGACCGGCCACACUGGGACUGAGAUACGGCCCAGACUCCUACGGGAGGCAGCAGUGGGGAAUAUUGCACAAUGGGCGGAAGCCUGAUGCAGCGACGCCGCGUGAGGGAUGACGGCCUUCGGGUUGUAAACCUCUUUCAGUAGGGACGAAGCGAGAGUGACGGUAAUUGGAGAAGAAGCACCGGCUAACUACGUG